rnacentral:rRNA from 1 species
GUGGGGAAUCUUCCGCAAUGGACGAAAGUCUGACGGAGCGACGCCGCGUGAGUGAAGAAGGCCUUCGGGUCGUAAAGCUCUGUCAUCAGGGACGAACGGCCGGUGGAGUGGAAAGCCACCGGAUUGACGGUACCUGAGAAGGAAGCCACGGCUAACUACGUGCCAGCAGCCGCGGUAAUACGUAGGUGGCAAGCGUUGUCCGGAAUUAUUGUGCGUAAAGCGCGCGCAGGUGGGAUCUUAAGUCCAUUUUGAAAGUUCGGAGCUCAACUCCGUGAUGGGAUGGAAACUGGGAUUCUUGAGUACCGGAGAGGAAAGCGGAAUUCCCCGUGUAGCGGUGAAAUGCGUAGAUAUGGGGAGGAACACCAGUGGCGAAGGCGGCUUUCUGGACGGUGUCUGACACUGAGGCGCGAAAGCUAGGGGAGCGAACGGGAUUAGAUACCCGGGUAGUCC